AAAUAAUUUUGUAUCCUGUCCUCUGUGGUUAUGUAUGACCUGUUUUGAGAAAGGAGUUUAAAGCAUAGGAACCUAAAAAGUGAAUCUGUCUGUAAGGCUACUAACUGAACUUAAGAAAAAGAAUUACUUCUUUUCAUAUGUUUCCUUUCUUUCUCCAGUCAAAGGUUAUGGUGUCAAACUGUGAUGAAAGCAUGUAUAAAAGAAAGGGCUAAAGAAAUGGAAUUUGAUGCUGCAUGAUAUCCCAGAGAGAUCUAGGCUGACAGAGCAACCUAUUCCAUCUGUGAAUGAAGAUACAGAAAUACGUGAUUUUUCCAAACUAAAGUAUAUAGAAACAUGGUUCAAGCUGAAUUUUCAGAGCAUAUCUUUUGUCUUUACUCAAAGCUCACAAAAUGCAGAUGGAAUUACCACUUUCUUUUGACAAUGUCUCUACUGAUUUAAUUCCCUUUUCAGCUUGUGUGUUCCUAUCAUGUUUCCCAUGGCAGUGUUUGAACCAUUAAGAAAUGGCCUUUUUCAGGUAUAACCACAUUGCACUCCUUCUAUGGAAUUGCAUAUUCAGCACUGUUAUGCAAAGAGGAUGACAGAAUUUGUUGGACAAUAAGAAUAUGGAAGAACAAAUAUGACUUUGAAAGACAGGAAAGUUCUGUGGGAUGAGGUGUUCUGGCUUCCCUCCUCUGCUCGCAUGAUUCCUGGAUUUUAUCCAAAGAGUAGGUAACAGAAAAUGUGGCUUCAGAAUUGAGAUGGAGUGGGACAACAGGACCUAUCUGAGGUGCAGACCUAUGCUAGUGAAAUUUCAAAUAAACUUGUUGCUUUUUUUUUCUGGAACAUACUGAAGUACACUAUACUGUGCUGCAUAUCUCACUGGAUAUUGACCAUGAGACCCUAUAGCUAGAUCUUCUCUGAGGCAAUUAUUUCCUCUUUUAUAUUGUGUAGAAAAUAAUGGAUGUCUAACAAAAGCUGAAUUGUGCAGAAGGGUCUAAAAGUUAGACACAGUCACUAUAUAUUUUAUCUACAUUGACUAAUAAAUGAGAUAAAAGGAAACACAUGCCAAAAGUUCACCAUGUGGUUGCCAGAGUAGUUUGUGGCAUUUGUUUGACUUGAACCAGCUAUCACUUUCUCAAAUGAUUCCUCGGUGUGAUUCAGGUGUUAAUGUGGGCCAUGCACUACUCUCAGUAUGGAACUUGCAGUCAACUGUCUUGUAUUGGAGGACAGGAUGAUUUAGUAGAAUGGAUGGAAGCUGUUUUGCUGAGACUGGUCUCUAUUAGAAGUUGCUCCUUGGAACAACUUUUUUCUACUAAAAUCAGAGAGAAAGCAUGGUCUAUGUGUCGAGCCCUGUUGUCCACAAAGAUGAUUCAUAAUCAGGAAAGUUUCUGCGAUCCCACAUUUAACUUAGAAUGAUAGAAUAAUGGAAUGGUUUGGUGCGAGGUACCUUCUGACUCAGUGAAAAAGGAGACAAAUAGACAAUUGACAUAUGUUUGGAAGCUCCAAUGAGUGCAAACACAACAGCAGACUCCUAAGAGUACAUGAGAUCUUACUAUUGGUCUUUAUAUUGCCUUCCACUACAAUAGUCUCAAGGCACUUCAUAGCCUCUCUGUCAGUCUUUUGGUUGCUCAGUUCAGUUGAAUGAGGAGAAGUUCCUUUUUUAUCCUGUAAACAUAGUCAAAGAAGAUUUUUUAAUGGAUUUCUCCACUUUUCAGUAAUUUUGUAACAGACACACAUCUAGUACCAAGAAAAUUUUAGAAUAUCUGGAUCUAAAAGAAAUUCCGCUUAGUUUACACAUAUGUGCAGGCUUCCUACAGAGUACUGGUGAUGUUUUACUGUCCCAGGAGUGCUUUUUAUCAAAUAUGGAGAGUUUACUGCAAGCUACAGGUAAUGAAUUUAUUCUAAUGCAUUUGAACAAUGGGAACAGCGUAUUCAUUUUCCUUACUGUACUAAAAAAACUGCUGAACUGUUUUCACCCAAGCAACACAAAAAUGCCUCAGGCAAAAAGCAGAGGCAGAAAAUGUCAUUUUGAAUGUUAGAAAUUUGGUAAAUUUGAGUGCAAGUGUAAACAAGUCACUGUCAAACAUAAAGUCAUGCAAUCUUAGCUAUUGGGGUUGCUAUGUAAUGCUAUUUCAGUAAUAGAUAAGCUUAUCAAAGUGAAUUUUCUUGGUGCAAUUUCAGCUCAGAUGAGACCUAAAAUAUAGGGGCUUAUAUCUGUUUUAGGCUACUGAAAACAGAAUAAGAGAAAGGUGCAUUCAUCAGUAGUAGGAUAAGUGGAAGCAAUCACUGUGCUGUAGAUGUGAAAAAUAUAAAUGUGAUCAUGGACACUUUUUAAGAAAGAUAAAGAAGUAUUAUUAGCAUAAGGCACUGAUAAAAUCUGACAGUUCUGAUUAUGUGUAUUCAGUAAGGAUGGUUCAAGGAUUCUGGGAUGGUAAAAGAGAUUUAAAAGAAUUCAUAAUAGAAAGGUAAAAGAGCAGAAGUACUUAUGUUUAGACAAUACUGGAAAGAGGUGCUAAAGGGUUAUGAAUAGAUUUAGGCCAGGAAUUAAAAGGAAAUUUGUCACUACAGGACAUAUUCUAGAAAGAUACACUUUCUAGAAGGAAAUCUGAAUUAGCUCAAAUGUUGAUUUUGUUCAGGUUAUUAAUGGAAUUAUCUGUGAUAACAGGAGACUAGAUUUUAUCCAGAAGCUCUUUUCCUGUCCUGUGGACAUUUAACCUGGUGCAAGGAAAUAUCCUGGUUCAGAGGAAAUAUCCCUUGCACACAUUCAGUAUGUACAAAUUACAAAAAAAUAUCAAACUGUAUUGAGUGUUCUCAUUUCCUUCAUGUAUUUUCCUACAGCCAACAUAUUGACUUCUGAAUGGAAGAGCAAAAGUAUCAAUUAAUAGAAAGUGUUCUUAAUAACUGGGAUUUUUUUUCCUCCAUCCUACUAAAAGUGAUCCAGAUCAGUCAGUAUCAUCAGGCGUUCAUCAUCUUUGAAGAAAGUUAGGACUUGUGAGGAGUAGACACUUUCCAGACAACUCUUCUUAUGUCUGCCAGUUAUUAAGCACAGGCUUUCUAACAUGAUAAAGACUACUGGGUGGUUGCAGCAAAUGUUAAAAUAGAAAUCACAACUCAUAAGUAGUAUAUAUGCAUAUAAAAGAAACUGAUAUAAAAGAAACUGAUAGCUACAGGAGCAGUACUAUUUUCAGUUGUGCCCAGUGCCAGGACAAGAGGCAGCAGGCACAAGCUGGGACACAGGAGGUUCCUUUUGAACACCAGGAAGGACUUCUGUGCUGUACAGGUGUCAGAGUACUGGCACAGGCUGCCCAGAGGCUGUGGAAUCUCUUCCCCGGGGAUCUUUAAAAGCCACCUGGAUGUGGUGCUGGGCACCCUGCUCUGGGUGUCCCUGCUGGAACAGGGGUUAGGACCCAGAGGUCCCUGCCCACCUCAAUCAGUCUGUGAUUCUGUGGAACUGAAAAAUUUUCAGAAUGAGGUAUGUCCUCACUAAAUGUUUCCUUUCUUCUAAUUGUCUGCUUGAAGGAAUAUGAGUGUGCAGGCUUAUCUCUCCAAGGAUGAAAUUAGGAAGCUGUGAAACAGAAGAGAAUGGGAAUGAAUAUGGAGGGGCUGAGAAAGAGCACAGUUGCAAGGAGAGCAGAGAUAAUCAGCUACAUAAGGAUUUAUAAGGCUUGGUGCUUAUCCCUCCAAGUCUCCACUUCCUGCAGCCUUCAGGUGCAUUUCCUGGUGUGUUAAUUGUGGGUGCAGAAGAGGAAGAAGAACCUGUUUUGCUGCAUGAUUGAAGGGAAUGUCAAGGGCCUUUCCAUUGAGAGGGGAUCCUCUCCAACUCACCUAAACAGUGGUAAUCCAGGAGCACUUCUCCAAGAACCUGCAGUACCUAGAAUAGUUGUCUAUAUCUAUUAUAUUAAAAAGUGCCAGGCACUUUAAUUGAAUUGCUUUAACUGAAUUGUUGCAGUACUCACUGGAACAGUUUUGACCUGGCCCAGCUAGCGCUGUUUCAAUCAAUUUGGCAUGCCUCAGGGUUAGCACAGGCCAGAAGCUACUUCCAGUAGGUAACCUGAGUAUGGCCUUUUUGUUUCAAGGAGAUUUGAGAGCAUGCAAAUUGCCUGACAGUGCAGCCCUGACAAUGCUUACUUUGUAAGCAUAGAACUGAUCUCAGAGGUCCUGGCCAGGCUGGUGAGGUUGCCUUGAGAGUGGCUAGUUCAGCUCCUCGUGCAGAAAUGACAGAACUGAAAAAGAAAGAGCUGAAAAAGAGAUUGUGAUUUGUAGGUUCUGUGAGUGUACAGUGCAGAGAACAGAAAAAGGCAAAGCAUCUGGCAACUCCUCUGUUGUUCACAGGAAAAAGAAAUGUGCCUAGCAGCCAUUAGAUGUGGUCAGCAGCAGUAGAUACUGUAAGACAAAAUAGACUCUAGCAUGCAUACGGUACUUGCUCACAGCACAAUUUUCUUCCACGUGGAUUUUCAUUCCUAGAGAGAUUUAUUUUGCCCAGCAAACUCAGAGCAGACACUAAAUCUGCCACAUCGCAUAGGGGUUCUGGAUGCUAGCAUGGAGCAUUAGUCAGCCAGGAGUCCUUUCUCUUUGUAACUGCGAGGGUGAGGGUGACCAAGCACUGGAAAAGAUUUUGCAUAGAGAUUUUGGAGCCUUAAUUCUCUGAGAUAUUCAAAAUGUGGUAGGACAUAGCACUGAGCAACCUGUUCUGGCUGACUCUGCUUUGAGAAGAAAUGUUGGAGUACUUGAUCUGCAGAAGGCUUUUCCAAACUCAGCCAAUCUGUGAUUUCUUUGAUCAUCCUGGACCAGAGAUCAAGACCAUGCCCUUGUGCUAUUAAUUUACUAACAUAGAAGUAAGCACAGGAUCGCACUGAAAGCGUUUAUUUAGAUUGCCUUGCUUCAGGUGAUGUCUCCUUCCCCACUGCUAUUAUAUAAAAAGGGCUGCAUACUGCAUACUGGACAAACCUUCUGGAGGGAGAGAAGGAAACCCCUUGGGUGUUUCCAAAGGUGAAAUACAAGCUGUGUUUUAAGAAAAAUCCUAAUGCAGAAAACAAUCCACACUUCAGUGAAGCAGAGAUCAGGUAAGAUUCCCUUUCUAAGUUCUGUGUUUUGAUCUAAAUUAUCUACUGAUUCUGAUCAAAGAGCUGUUCAUCCAGUAAUUGUUCUGAGUUAGAACUCUAAAUAAAAUGUUGUCCUUCUGAAAACCUUUACCUUCUUAUUCUUUACUCACCAAAACUGAUAUGAAGAAGUUGUCUUUGGCCAAUUUUUAUUCCUGUUAUACCACCUCAAAUCAAAUCUGUUCAGGUAGACAUUUAAACAUGCCUGAAGACUUUGGAAGGCACAGAUGAGUGCUCUGUAACACUGGCUGUCUGAGAUCCUUCCCAUUCGUGCAAGAGGGGACACAUGGGACAGCUGCAGGCUGUGGGAAGCCCACGUGCCACCAGCUGGGGAAGGAGGGCAUCCCGAGGGAGGGAUCCCAUGUGGAGCAGGGGCAGAGUGGCCAUGGAAGAGUGGCAGAGUUGAAGCGUUAUAGGCUGACUGCAGCCCCUCAUUCUUCAUUUACCUGCACCAAAGGUGUUUUUAGUUUGCUUUUCUUUCUUACUGUUCUAGUCUGUUAGCAAUAGGUAAUAAAUUACAUUAAUCUCUCAAUAUUGAGUGUGUUUCAGCCAUGGUAGUAAUUGGUGAGGGAUCUUCCUGUACUUAUUUCAACUCAUGACCCAUUUUUUCAUCAUUUUUUUUUCCACUGUUCUUUUGAGGAGGGGGAGUGUAACAGUGGUAUGCUGGAACUUACCUGCCCAUCAGGGUAAAACCUUAGGAGUCCCAACUGAAAGGACAGAAAUGUAACGAACAGGGACAGCUCCCCAGUUACUGAUGGGCUGCACUGUUGCUUGUAACAAGCACAACUCAUUGUGUCUGAUGGGACAAGGGGUAAAGCUUUAAACUAAAAAGAAGGUAAAUUUAAUGGUAAAUUCUUUACUAUAAGGGUGAUGAGGCAGUAGAACGUGUUGCCCAGAGAAGCUGUCAAUGCCGCGUCCUUGGAAGAGUUCAGGGCCACGCUGGAUGUGGCUUUGUGUGACCCGGUCUGGUUGGUGGCUGGAUCUAGAUGAUACUUAAGGUCCCUUCAAACCCAAACCAAUGUAUGCUUUUAUGAUCCUGUGAUUCCAGGUGUGUUUGGAACAAGAAUAAAUUUCCCCUGGACUUCUGAGGAAGAACUAGGAGUGAAACUCAGUGAACUAUGACCGUGGAAUUCAUAUGGUGAAAGGCAAGAAAAGAAUAGUUCAGUACAUCUUUCCAGGAGAAAGAAGACCUGGUCAGAAGAUUUGUUAUUGACUUGUUCUGUGAUCAUAGUUCCGUGGUCUUUUUCAGCGACACCAUCAUAAAAGGCCACUACAUUGGUCAAGAAGGAUUUGCCCUUGAUGAUGCCAUGCUGAUUCUCCCAUAUCACCUCCCUCUCUUCCAUGUGCCUUCCAGGAGGAUCUGCUCCAUGAUCUUUCCUAACACAGAGGUGAGACUGACAGGUUGGUAGUUCCUGGGGUCAGGGUUAUCCUUUUAACCUUUCUUAAAAAUGGGUGUGAUGUUGCCUUUUUUUCCAGUCACCAGGGACUUCACCUCAUUGCCACGUCUUUUCAAAUAUCAUUGAGAGUGGCUUGGCAAUUACAUCAGCCAGUUUCCUUAGGACUCUGGGAUGCAUCUAAUUGAGACUCAUAGACUUGUGGAUGUUCAGGUUCCUCAGGUGGUCACAAACCUGAUCUUUGCUUACAGUGGGAGGGAUAUUGCUUCCCUAGUCCCAUCCUACCAAAUCAAAUGUUUGAGGGCUGUGUGAUGAGCAGUUAUCAGAGAAGACUGUAGCAAAAAAAUUGUUGAGUAUCUCAGCCUUCUCCUUGUCUGUUGUUACCAGCUUGCCUGCAUCACUCACUAGAGGGAAUAUGCCAUCCUGGACCAUUCUUUUCUGGUUGAGGUACCCGUAGAAGCCUUUCUUGUUCUUCUUGGCAUCCCUUGCUGAGUUUAUUUCAAGCUGGGCCUUGGUUUUCCUGACCCCAUCCCUACACAGCCUAGCAGCUUCCUUAUACU